UGCGGAUGUGAGUUUGGCCCCUUGUCCUUUGGUACGGGGGUCUAAGAGCUGUAUGGGUUGGAUGGUCCUAAAUACGGCAAGAGGUGGACGAGCUAUGUGACAACAGAACUGUUGUGCGAAUGCCCCGGUUGUCGUUUAGAUGGGUCAGCAUAAUCUAAAGACCCUUUUGA
rnacentral:rRNA from 1 species